rnacentral:sRNA from 1 species
ACCCAUAGUCGCACGUGCCUAUAGGUAUCCGCCGUCUCUUCGAUAUGGUGAAGAGCACGGAAAGGUAACCGGAGCUAACCCCUCCGGACGCAUCAGGGACCAACCUUGAUACGUGGAUAUCGUAAAGCAACGACGGUGAGGGUCUCA